AUUUUUUGUACCUUUAUAAGUAAAGACGCCUGCCUAUUCACAGCUUAGUCGACCAUUUAUCUUACGACUAAUACUUGGGUCUAUUUGUAACUAUUAUUUUAAGUUACUAUCAUUUAGUUUGUGUAAAAGUGUUUUAGAAUGGUGUUUAACAAGGCAGCUGUUUUCCUAUCACUGUGUGUUGGGGCUGUAUUUUGCAGCUGCGAUGUCUGCGAAAUAGAUGCAUAUGAGCCAGUUUGUGGAAGCGAUAACCUGACAUAUCCCAACA